CCGGUAGUAUUCGUGCGGCAGUAUUUAAGCCGAUAACAAUAGAGAUUUCGUUCCAGUCUGGUUUUGUCUUCAAAAUCAGACACAAAAGGAUAGUCAGAGCCCUUUGUUUGUUCAAGGAUCGGAUAUCAGUUAAUUCUUUGGAUUUAUAUCAGUGCUUUUCUAUCGUCUUCAUUGGAGUUCCAGCGUGUUGAGCAUAGGGAUAAUGUGGGCGUGGCAGGCCUUGAUGUCGAUGUUGUUGACAAUAAGUUUCGAAGGCAUAUGACUGAUGUGAAGAACUUUUGCAGGAAGAUUACUCGCAGCUGGCACCUAGUUGCACCCUACUUGGAUAAAAAAAUUUCUAUCGAUGCUGCUGGCAAAAAGACACCUAUCCAAGUCCCAAGACAGCACUGAACGACCUAGUAUGGUGAAGAAGUUGCGACCUGAAGGUGAUGUUGAGGCUACUGAAAGGCCAGGUAACACAGAACAACACUGUGCUUGUUGCAGAAAAGCGGUUAGUCUUUUAAGGUAAUAACUUUUACAUUUUCUUUUGUAAAUUCAUUUUUAUAGUUUCAAAACAAUUCCUUUUUAGGUGUCUCAACCCUUUUGACAUUUAUUAUAUUUAUUAACAGGGCUUUUUGGCAAGAUGUUGACUGGACCGUGGAUGACACUGAUCUACAAAAUGAAAGAUGAAACAAAUUAAAGAUACCAUUUAUGCAGCUAUUAUAUUUAUUCUCUUGUUUUCUAGAUCUCUCAUGUGAAGGUCUGCAUUGACAAACUAAAGCCACUAAAGGCCAUUGUGGAUUCUCCAGAGAAUCUCCUUUCAAUACUAAGUGAUUGCUUUGGCCAGACUCUGGAUACUGAAGAUCUCGUUCUGAAAACCCUGAGAAAUGUGACUGUUGAUGAAGUAUUUAUCGAGAUCACUAAAAAACUUGCUGAAGGUUUUUGUAAGGUGCUACAGAGACAGUACUUCAAUUGAUAAUUUCCAACAACAAACAAAUCCAUUAUGUGCUUACCCAUCAAAUACAAAACAGAUAGGGUACACCCAAACAAUGUUCAUCUUCAAACAAUCAUGCAUGAUCCUCGCAAGCUUUGGAUACUGACGUACAUUUGCAAACGCACUCAGACUGAUGACAUCAAGAAAUCUAUAUUUGUUAUUUACAUUAUAU